GACGAACGCUGGCGGCGUGCUUAACACAUGCAAGUCGAGCGGAAAGGCCACUUCGGUGGUACUCGAGCGGCGAACGGGUGAGUAACACGUGAGUAAUCUGCCCUCCACUUUGGGAUAAGCCUCGGAAACGGGGUCUAAUACCGGAUAUGACUGCCUGGCGCAUGCUGGGUGGUGGAAAGUUUUUUCGGUGGGGGAUGUGCUCGCGGCCUAUCAGCUUGUUGGUGGGGUAAUGGCCUACCAAGGCUUCGACGGGUAGCCGGCCUGAGAGGGUGACCGGCCACACUGGGACUGAGACACGGCCCAGACUCCUACGGGAGGCAGCAGUGGGGAAUAUUGGACAAUGGGCGGAAGCCUGAUCCAGCAACGCCGCGUGAGGGAUGACGGCCUUCGGGUUGUAAACCUCUUUCAGCGGGGACGAAGCGCCGAUGAUGGUGGUGACGGUACCCGCAGAAGAAGCACCGGCCAACUACGUGCCAGCCGCCGCCGUAACAC
rnacentral:rRNA from 1 species